GAUGAACGCUGGCGGCGUGCCUAAUACAUGCAAGUCGAGCGAACAGACGAGGAGCUUGCUCCUCUGACGUUAGCGGCGGACGGGUGAGUAACACGUGGAUAACCUACCUAUAAGACUGGGAUAACUUCGGGAAACCGGAGCUAAUACCGGAUAAUCUAUUGAACCGCAUGGUUCAAUAGUGAAAGACGGUUUUGCUGUCACUUAUAGAUGGAUCCGCGCCGCAUUAGCUAGUUGGUAAGGUAACGGCUUACCAAGGCGACGAUGCGUAGCCGACCUGAGAGGGGGAUCGGCCACACUGGAACUGAGACACGGUCCAGACUCCUACGGGAGGCAGCAGUAGGGAAUCUUCCGCAAUGGGCGAAAGCCUGACGGAGCAACGCCGCGUGAGUGAUGAAGGUCUUCGGAUCGUAAAACUCUGUUAUUAGGGAAGAACAAAUGUGUAAGUAACUAUGCACGUCUUGACGGUACCUAAUCAGAAAGCCACGGCUAACUACGUG
rnacentral:rRNA from 1 species